rnacentral:rRNA from 1 species
GACGAACGCUGGCGGCGUGCCUAAUACAUGCAAGUCGAACGCAGUGGGGACGGGUGAUUAACACGUGGGUAACCUCCCAUCAGAGGGGAUAACACUUAGAAACUGCUGCUAAACCGAUACUGAUUGAUGUCCCCGCGGUGGAUUCGCUAGGCGGUGAGGUAACGGCUCACCAAGGCCACGAUGCAUAGCCGACCUGAGAGGGUGAUCGGCCACACUGGGACUGAGACACGGCCCAGACUCCUACGGGAGGCAGCAGUGGGGAAUAUUCGGCAAUGGGCGAAAGUCUGACCGAGCAACGCCGCGUGAGUGAAGAAGGUCUUCGGAUCGUAAAACACUGUUGGUAGAGAAGCGGUAUCUAAACAGAAAGCAACGGCUAACUACGUGCCAGCAGCCGCGGUAAUAC